rnacentral:rRNA from 2 species
CGACCCCAGGAUGGGC